rnacentral:rRNA from 1 species
UACGGAGGGUGCAAGCGUUAUCCGGAUUCACUGGGUUUAAAGGGUGCGUAGGUGGGCAAGUAAGUCAGUGGUGAAAUCUCCAGGCUUAACCCGGAAACUGCCAUUGAUACUAUUUGUCUUGAAUACUGUGGAGGUCAGCGGAAUAUGUCAUGUAGCGGUGAAAUGCUUAGAUAUGACAUAGAACACCAAUUGCGAAGGCAGCUGGCUACACAAAUAUUGACACUGAGGCACGAAAGCGUGGGGAUCAAACAGG